rnacentral:tRNA from 1 species
GGUAAAAUGGCUGAGUUAAAGCAUUAGACUGUAAAUCUAAGUACAGAGGUUGGACCCCUCUUUUUACCA